CUGGUUGAUCCUGCCAGUAGUCAUAUGCUUGUCUCAAAGAUUAAGCCAUGCAUGUCUAAGUACAAGCCUCACUAAGGUGAAACCGCGAAUGGCUCAUUAAAUCACACCUAAUCUACUGGAUAGUAAACAGUUACUUGGAUAACUGCGGUAAUUCUGGAGCUAAUACAUGCAUGAAGCCCCAACUCACGAAGGGGCGCUUUUAUUAGAUCAAAACCAAACGGCUUCGGCUGUACUCUUGGUGAUUCUGAAUAACUUUGGGCUGAUCGCAUAGCCUUGCGCUGGCGACAUGGGUUUCGAAGGUGUGCCCUAUCAACUGUCGACUGUGGCAUAGACGCCCACAGUGGUUUUGACGGGUAACGGGGAAUCAGGGUUCGAUUCCGGAGAGGGAGCCUUAAAAACGGCUACCACAUCUAAGGAAGGCAGCAGGCACGCAAAUUACCCAAUGACCGAAGGUCGAGGUAGUGACGAAAAAUAACAAUACCGGACUCUUCCGAGGCCCGGUAAUUGGAAUGAGACGACUUUAAAUCCGUUUACGAGGAUCUAUUGGAGGGCAAGUCU
rnacentral:rRNA from 1 species